rnacentral:lncRNA from 1 species
UCUUGGAAUUUGAACCUGGCAUUUUUGCUUGGGUUCUAAUUCUAAGAAAGAGAACCUGCCUGCUUCAAACAACACGCAAAUUAAGGUGUGACUUUUGGCUCCAUUUUUUGUUAUAUAUAGCUAUCAUCUGCUCUGGAAUAAGCUGGAUUUCUUCCACUGAGUUCAUAUCUCCUUCUGUCUUUUUUGAAAUGCAUUUUAAAGCCUCAUGUUUCUUUCUGGAAAAUCUACCAUAAUGUAACAACAGAUUUUAAAUCUUAUAUGUAUAUUAAUCAGGAUGCCAACAACCACAAUCUAAUACAGUCCUUACCUUUUACUGACAACGUGAAUUUUAAUUAAGUGCAUAAUUAAGAUCUGAAAUGCAGAAUGUAUUUUUGGUCCUGUUUACUGUGUGCAAGAAACUCUAACAUGGAAUAAAGUUGGCCUCCCUGCUACAAAGACUCAACGUAUUACAAAACAAGUGAAUGGCAGCUACAACUGGGUUUUCAAAGACAAGAAACAAGCUUGAUGUUCAUCAAGGCCGUGAGAGAUGUACAUCCAUAGCAUGCUUCCAUGUGCUUCCCUCAAAAGAACACAGGUGGCAACGAUGAACCAGACUUGAGAGCGACAAGGGCAACACUCCGGGAGAUGGUACAGCCCCAAGAAAGAAGGAAUCUAGAUGAGCAUCAUGGAGUUCCCCUGAGCGCCUAUGACCCAGGUUUCAGAUGAGAUACAAUGACCUGGGUCAAGGUAUGAUAAAGUGAGGGUAAAAGCUGUAAAGUGAGGAUGAUAAUGGAACUACAUUCGUUGGAGCAACUCUAGCUGAUGUCAUAAACUGAUGCAAAAAAAAAAAAAAAAAAAAAAAACAUGAAAAGGCUCAAACACAAUUGGCACUUAUUUCUUGCUGAUGCGGCAGUGCUGAAUGGUUCCGGAAGGGCGUGACUGUGGUUGGGCAAGCAGGAAUCUCGGCUCCCUGCUAUCACUCAGGGCCAGGAAGAUAGAGUGCUGCCAUCUUUAAGAGGCAUCUCCCUGCAAGAGGAAGAACCAUGGAAGAUCACAUAGAUAUUUUUAUGGGCCAGGCCUGGAAGUGGCCCAAAUUACCUCUAUUAACAUUCUGUUGGCUAGAAUAUCAUACGGCCACACCGCACCACAAGAAAGGCUAGGGAAUGUAGCACAGCUAUAGCCCAGGAAUAGUUCUGGACAGUUAGAAUUCUCUGGCACGAGUGCUAUGUUAGCCCCUGGAGGGCAAAGAAGAUUUUUGUCUAUUUUUUUCCAGUCCUGUGUUCCAAGUAUCUAGAACCAGGGUUAGCAAACCUUUUCCAUAAGAGGCUAGAUAGGAAAUAUCUAGCUUUUGUGGGCCACACAGUCUCCAACACAACUAAUCAUCUCUGCUGUGGUAGCAUCAUACAGAUGUGAAUGCGUGAGGAUGGCUGUGUUCCAAUAAAACUUUAUUUACAUAAACGGGCA